UACGUAGGGGGCAAGCGUUGUCCGGAAUCAUUGGGCGUAAAGAGCGUGUAGGCGGCCCGAUAAGUCCGCUGUGAAAGUCCAGGGCUCAACCCUGGAAUGCCGGUGGAUACUGUCGGGCUAGAGUCCGGAAGGGCGAGUGGAAUUCCUGGUGUAGCGGUGAAAUGCGCAGAUAUCAGGAAGAACACCCGUGGCUAAGGCGGCUCUCUAGUACGGUACUGACGCUGAGACGCGAAAGCGUGGGGAGCGAACAGG
rnacentral:rRNA from 1 species